rnacentral:rRNA from 1 species
UCCAGAGGGUGCGAGCGUUGUUCGGAAUUAUUGGGCGUAAAGGGCGCGUAGGCGGCGCGGUAUGUCACCUGUGAAAUCUCCUGGCUCAACUGGGAGCUUGCAGGCGAAACUGCCGUGCUGGAGUGUGGGAGAGGUGCGUGGAAUUCCUGGUGUAGCGGUGAAAUGCGUAGAUAUCAGGAGGAACACCAGUGGCGAAGGCGACUUCCUGGCCUGUUCUUGACGCUGAGGCGCGAAAGCUAGGGGAGCAAACGGG